rnacentral:tRNA from 1 species
UCCUCGGUAGCUCAGCGGUAGAGCAGGUGACUGUUAAUCACUUGGUCGCUGGUUCGAAUCCGGCCCGGGGAGCCA